GGUAACUGCUUCUAAUCACAGGUGACAGCAGGAAUGUAAACAACACAGGAAACAUCUAAAUGCAAUCCAAGUGGCAAGGAAACACUGCGCACUCACAGGCUCCCUCCCUUCCUCCCUCCCUUCCUCGAGGGCACCAGCACACCAUUUCCUGCCACCCCCUUAGGAAGCACUGCUCAUUAACACCCUGUUAAUAGGAACCCCAGAAACCUGAGCUUCCGGAGAACAGAACACUAAGUCAUCACCUGCUUUGACUCUGCUACCUCCAGGGAGGACUUUUCUAGAUUCCUCCCAUUUUUCUGUUUAAAGCAAUAAAUUUAAUGUGUGUGUGCCUGUGUGUGUGUGUG